rnacentral:rRNA from 1 species
CGGAACGGGUGAGUAAUGCGUGACCAACCUGCCCCAUGCUCCAGAAUAGCUCUUGGAAACGGGUGGUAAUGCUGGAUGCUCCAACUUGACGCAUGUCUUGUUGGGAAAGUGUUUAGUGGCAUGGGAUGGGGUCGCGUCCUAUCAGCUUGUAGGCGGGGUAAUGGCCCACCUAGGCUUCGACGGGUAGCCGGCCUGAGAGGGCGGACGGCCACAUUGGGACUGAGAUACGGCCCAGACUCCUACGGGAGGCAGCAGCA